ACCUUGCGCUCCUUGGUAUUCCGAGGAGCAUGCCUGUUUGAGUGUCAUUAA
rnacentral:rRNA from 1 species